rnacentral:rRNA from 1 species
GUGCAGCAGUCGCGAAUAGUCUACAAUGGACGAAAGUCUGAUAGUGCGACGCCGUGUGUGCGAUUAAUUCCUUCGGGAUGUAAAGCACUUUUCUAUGAGAUAAAAGCUCUUUAGGUUAAUAGCUUAUUGAGACGGAUAUUAUUAUAGGAAUAAGCUCCGGCUAACUCCGUGCCAGCAGCCGCGGUAAUACGGAAGGAGCGAGCGUUGUCCGGAUUUACUAGGCGUAAAGGGCUAGUAGGCGACUAAUUAAGUUAUAUGUUAAAUCCCACGGCUCAACUGUGGUCCUGCAUGUAAUACUGGUUAGAUAGAGUACUGUAGAGGGAGGCAGAAUUCCUGGAGUAGCGGUGGAAUGCGCAGAUAUCAGGAAGAAUACCAAAAGCGAAGGCAGCCUUCUGGGCAGUUACUGACGCUGAAUAGCGAAGGUGUGGGUAGCGAACAGGAUUAGAUACCCGGGUAGU